GCGGGAGUAGUUCAAUGGUAGAACAUCAGUUUUCCAAACUGAUUACGCGGGUUCGAUUCCCGUCUCCCGCUCCA
rnacentral:tRNA from 1 species